GCCAUAAAAUGCUAUACAUAAUCUUCUGUGAACCUGCAUAUGAUUUCACAUAUUUUUUAAUAUGUACUGUUUGGUUUGACAUAAAAUAUGUGUAGAUAUGAGUUUGGUUUUUUUUGUUUGUUUGUUUGCAUCAAACAGAAAGAGGAGGGAUUUGGCACAUAGAUCUGAGAUGAUCUUGUCUCAUUUUGUAGACUGUCACAAAGCUCAUUCCUGCUGCUGUGACACACACAUGUACAAUGAUACUUCAUUCAGUCAUUCUGCUCUCCACUUUGAUAAGUGUGAGUUUUGGAGAUGAAAUCACAGCAGACAGCACUGAAGAAACUGCUGAAGUGGGUUCAACUCCUACUUUAUCCUGCAGUUAUUCAUCUGCACGAUCCCUUCAAUGGUACCGUCAGUAUCCCGGAUCAGCUCCUCAGUUUCUUGUGCUAAUAAUGGAGAGUGUGAAAGAGAAUAGGACAUCUGAUAUAGACCCCAGAUUCUCCACUAAGCUCAGAAAAGAAAAACAAGCUACAAAAGAAAUCAAACGUGUGGAUCUGAUCAUCUCCUCUGCUGCUGUAUCUGACUCUGCUCUGUAUUACUGUGCUCUGAGGCCCACAGUCACAGGAAACACAUCAACACUGUACAAAAACCUGAUCCUACAGGUGACAAAAUUAGCUUUAGAUGCAUUUGCUUUUUCCCAGGUGGUGAGGAAUAUUGAUCUGGUUCUCUACCUCUUUCAAUCAUUUACCAAAAUGAGCAUCAUCUCAGCAGAGAGCAGGAAGUUCCAGAUUGACUCUAUGACUCAGUUCCUGCAGAAACUCAGAACAUCACAAUCCUCACAACCCAGAGAAGAGAAGAUCAUCAACAGAACUGAUCUGACUUAG